UCCUACGGGAGGCAGCAGUGGGGAAUAUUGCACAAUGGGCGCAAGCCUGAUGCAGCCAUGCCGCGUGUAUGAAGAAGGCCUUCGGGUUGUAAAGUACUUUCAGCGGGGAGGAAGGCGAUAAGGUUAAUAACCUUGUCGAUUGACGUUACCCGCAGAAGAAGCACCGGCUAACUCCGUGCCAGCAGCCGCGGUAAUA
rnacentral:rRNA from 1 species